GUGUUCACUUCGGCAGCACAUAUACUAAAAUUGGAACGAUACAGAGAAGAUUAGCACGGCCCCUGCGCAAGGAUGACAUGCAAAUUUGUGAAGCAUUCCAUAUUUUU
rnacentral:snRNA from 1 species